UUGAGCGAUUUACUUCGGUAAAGAGCGGCGGACGGGUGAGUAACGCGUGGGUAACCUACCCUGUACACACGGAUAACAUACCGAAAGGUAUGCUAAUACGGGAUAAUAUAUUUGAGAGGCAUCUCUUAAAUAUCAAAGGUGAGCCAGUACAGGAUGGACCCGCGUCUGAUUAGCUAGUUGGUAAGGUAACGGCUUACCAAGGCGACGAUCAGUAGCCGACCUGAGAGGGUGAUCGGCCACAUUGGAACUGAGACACGGUCCAAACUCCUACGGGAGGCAGCAGUGGGGAAUAUUGCACAAUGGGCGAAAGCCUGAUGCAGCAACGCCGCGUGAGUGAUGAAGGCCUGCGGGUCGUAAAACUCUGUCCUCAAGGAAGAUAAUGACGGUACUUGAGGAGGAAGCCCCGGCUAACUACGUGCCAGCAGCCGCGGUAAUACGUAGGGGGCUAGCGUUAUCCGGAUUUACUGGGCGUAAAGGGUGCGUAGGCGGUCUUUCAAGUCAGGAGUGAAAGGCUACGGCUCAACCGUAGUAAGCUCUUGAAACUGGGAGAUUUGAGUGCAGGAGUGGAGAGUGGAAUUCCUAGUGUAGCGGUGAAAUGCGUAGAUA
rnacentral:rRNA from 1 species